UACGUAGGGUCCGAGCGUUGUCCGGAAUUAUUGGGCGUAAAGGGCUCGUAGGCGGUUUGUCGCGUCGGGAGUGAAAACACGGGGCUUAACCCCGUGCCUGCUUCCGAUACGGGCAGACUAGAGGUAUGCAGGGGAGAACGGAAUUCCUGGUGUAGCGGUGAAAUGCGCAGAUAUCAGGAGGAACACCGGUGGCGAAGGCGGUCUCUGGGCAUUACCUGACGCUGAGGAGCGAAAGUGUGGGGAGCGAACAGG
rnacentral:rRNA from 1 species